rnacentral:rRNA from 1 species
GAUGAACGCUGGCGGCGUGCCUAAUACAUGCAAGUCGAGCGAACGGACGAGAAGCUUGCUUCUCUGAUGUUAGCGGCGGACGGGUGAGUAACACGUGGAUAACCUACCUAUAAGACUGGGAUAACUUCGGGAAACCGGAUCUAAUACCGGAUAAUAUUUUGAACCGCAUGGUUCAAAAGUGAAAGACGGUCUUGCUGUCACUAAUAGAUGGAUCCGCGCUGCAUUAGCUAGUUGGUAAGGUAACGGCUUACCAAGGCAACGAUGCAUAGCCGACCUGAGAGGGUGAUCGGCCACACUGGAACUGAGACACGGUCCAGACUCCUACGGGAGGCAGCAGUAGGGAAUCUUCGGCAAUGGGCGAAAGCCUGACGGAGCAACGCCGCGUGAGUGAUGAAGGUCUUCGGAUCGUAAAACUCUGUUAUUAGGGAAGAACAUAUGUGUAAGUAACCGUGCACAUCUUGACGGUACCUAAUCAGAAAGCCACGGCUAACUACGUG